CCUACGGGGGGCAGCAGUGGGGGAUAUUGCACAAUGGGCGAAAGCCUGAUGCAGCGACGCCGCGUGAGGGAAGACGGUCUUCGGAUGGUAAACCUCUGUCUGUGGGGAAGAAGAUGACGGUACCCAAAGAGGAAGCUCCGGCUAACGACGUGCCAGCAGCCGCGGUAAUACGUAGGGAGCGAGCGUUGUCCGGAAUUACUGGGUGGAAAGGGAGCGUAGGCGGGGAUGCAAGUGGGAUGUUUAAACUAUCGGCUCAACCGGUAAUUGCAACCCAAACUGCAACUCUUGAGUGAAGUAGAGGCAGGCGUACUUCCUCGUGUAGCGGUGACAUGCUUAGAUAUUAGGUGGAACACCAGUGGCGACGGCGGCCUGCUGGGCUUUAACUGCCGCUGAGGCUCGAAAGCGUGGGGAGCAAACAGGAUUAGAUACCCGAGUAGUC
rnacentral:rRNA from 1 species